rnacentral:rRNA from 1 species
CGAAACGGGAAAAGCCCAAACCAGCAAGCUUGCUUGUUGGGGUUGUAGGACUCCAAUAUGGUAGUUCUUUCAGAUAGUCGAAUGACUUGGAAAAGUCAGUCAAAGAGGGUAAAAACCCCGUAGACGAAAUGUGGAAGACACCUAGGAGGAUCCUGAGUACGGCGGAACACGAGAAAUUCCGUCGGAAUCCGGGAGGACCAUCUCCCAAGGCUAAAUACUCCCUAGUGACCGAUAGUGAACCAGUACCGUGAGGGAAAGGUGAAAAGCACCCCGGAAGGGGAGUGAAAUAGAACCUGAAACCGUGUGCCUACAACAAGUCAAAGCCCGUUAAUGGGUGAUGGCGUGCCUUUUGUAGAAUGAACCGGCGAGUUACGAUUGCAUGCGAGGUUAAGUUGAAGAGACGGAGCCGCAGCGAAAGCGAGUCUGAAUAGGGCGUUUGAGUAUGUAGUCGUAGACCCGAAACCAUGUGAUCUACCCAUGUCCAGGUUGAAGGUGCGGUAAAACGCACUGGAGGACCGAACCCACGUACGUUGAAAAGUGCGGGGAUGAGGUGUGGGUAGCGGAGAAAUUCCAAACGAACUUGGAGAUAGCUGGUUCUCUCCGAAAUAGCUUUAGGGCUAGCCUCGGAAUUGAGAAUGAUGGAGGUAGAGCACUGUUUGGACUAGGGGCCCAUCUCGGGUUACCGAAUUCAGAUAAACUCCGAAUGCCAUUCAUUCAUAUCCGGGAGUCAGACUGUGAGUGAUAAGAUCCAUAGUCGAAAGGGAAACAGCCCAGACCACCAGCUAAGGUCCCAAAAUAUAUGUUAAGUGGAAAAGGAUGUGGGGUUGCACAGACAACUAGGAUGUUGGCUUAGAAGCAGCCACCAUUUAAAGAGUGCGUAAUAGCUCACUAGUCGAGUGACCCUGCGCCGAAAAUGUACCGGGGCUAAACAUAUUACCGAAGCUGUGGAGUACACCUUUAGGUGUAUUGGU